GAUGAACGCUGGCGGCGUGCCUAAUACAUGCAAGUCGAGCGAACAGACGAGGAGCUUGCUCCUCUGACGUUAGCGGCGGACGGGUGAGUAACACGUGGAUAACCUACCUAUAAGACUGGGAUAACUUCGGGAAACCGGAGCUAAUACCGGAUAAUAUAUUGAACCGCAUGGUUCAAUAGUGAAAGACGGUUUUGCUGUCACUUAUAGAUGGAUCCGCCCCGCAUUAGCUAGUUGGUAAGGUAACGGCUUACCAAGGCAACGAUGCGUAGCCGACCUGAGAGGGUGACCGGCCACACUGGAACUGAGACACGGUCCAGACUCCUACGGGAGGCAGCAGUAGGGAAUCUUCCGCAAUGGGCGAAAGCCUGACGGAGCAACGCCGCGUGAGUGAUGAAGGUCUUCGGAUCGUAAAACUCUGUUAUUAGGGAAGAACAAAUGUGUAAGUAACUAUGCACGUCUUGACGGUACCUAAUCAGAAAGCCACGGCUAACUACGUG
rnacentral:rRNA from 1 species